rnacentral:rRNA from 1 species
GCAUAAUCAUUUGCCGUUUAAUUGAUGGCUGGAAUGAAUGAAUAUACGUAAGCUCAACUGUCUCCUUUUUACCUAUAAAAAUUGACCCCCAAGUGAAGAGACUUGGAUUGACCAAAAAGACGAAAAGACCCUAUAGAGCUUCACCUGACCUUCACUCGUCCAAGAGAAGGUUUAGUUGGGGCAACUAGAGAGUACCUAAAACCUCUCUUCCAAAAAACCUAUUUAGAUCCGUUACACGACCAGCAGAGAAAGCUACCUUAGGGAUAACAGGCUAAUCCUCUUUGAGAGACCAUAUUGACAAGAGGGG